AUAUUUAUUUGGCAGGAAUACAAUGAUCUUGAAGCUGGUUUUUUUAGAGUGAGGUUUGUUCAUUGUAGUCUGCGUGUGCUGACUCCUGCGAUUUCCCCAAAUGUGAGGGGCUCGACUGCAUAAUUUGUAGUACAAGGGGACUGCGUUCGCGGUUUCUCCUG